GGGAAACCGAGUCUUAACCGGGCGUUAAGUUGCAGGGUAUAGACCCGAAACCCGGUGAUCUAGCCAUGGGCAGGUUGAAGGUUGGGUAACACUAACUGGAGGACCGAACCGACUAAUGUUGAAAAAUUAGCGGAUGACCUGUGGCUGGGGGUGAAAGGCCAAUCAAACCGGGAGAUAGCUGGUUCUCCCCGAAAGCUAUUUAGGUAGCGCCUCGUGAAUUCAUCUCCGGGGGUAGAGCACUGUUUCGGCUAGGGGGCCAUCCCGGCUUACCAACCCGAUGCAAACUGCGAAUACCGGAGAAUGUUAUCACGGGAGACACACGGCGGGUGCUAACGUCCGUCGUGAAGAGGGAAACAACCCAGACCGCCAGCUAAGGUCCCAAAGUCAUGGUUAAGUGGGAAACGAUGUGGGAAGGCCCAGACAGCCAGGAUGUUGGCUUAGAAGCAGCCAUCAUUUAAAGAAAGCGUAAUAGCUCACUGGUCGAGUCGGCCUGCGCGGAAGAUGUAACGGGGCUAAACCAUGCACCGAAGCUGCGGCAGCGACACUGUGUGUUGUUGGGUAGGGGAGCGUUCUGUAAGCCUGUGAAGGUGUGUCGUGAGGCAUGCUGGAGGUAUCAGAAGUGCGAAUGCUGACAUAAGUAACGAUAAAGCGGGUGAAAAGCCCGCUCGCCGGAAGACCAAGGGUUCCUGUCCAACGUUAAUCGGGGCAGGGUGAGUCGACCCCUAAGGCGAGGCCGAAAGGCGUAGUCGAUGGGAAACGGGUUAAUAUUCCCGUACUUGGUGUUACUGCGAAGGGGGGACGGAGAAGGCUAUGUUGGCCGGGCGACGGUUGUCCCGGUUUAAGCGUGUAGGUGUGUGUUCCAGGUAAAUCCGGUUCACUUUAACACUGAGGCGUGAUGACGAGGCACUACGGUGCUGAAGCAACAAAUGCCCUGCUUCCAGGAAAAGCCUCUAAGCAUCAGGUAACAUCAAAUCGUACCCCAAACCGACACAGGUGGUCAGGUAGAGAAUACCAAGGCGCUUGAGAGAACUCGGGUGAAGGAACUAGGCAAAAUGGUGCCGUAACUUCGGGAGAAGGCACGCUGACACGUAGGUGAAGUGAUUUACUCAUGGAGCUGAAGUCAGUCGAAGAUACCAGCUGGCUGCAACUGUUUAUUAAAAACACAGCACUGUGCAAACACGAAAGUGGACGUAUACGGUGUGACGCCUGCCCGGUGCCGGAAGGUUAAUUGAUGGGGUCAGCGCAAGCGAAGCUCCUGAUCGAAGCCCCGGUAAACGGCGGCCGUAACUAUAACGGUCCUAAGGUAGCGAAAUUCCUUGUCGGGUAAGUUCCGACCUGCACGAAUGGCGUAAUGAUGGCCAGGCUGUCUCCACCCGAGACUCAGUGAAAUUGAACUCGCUGUGAAGAUGCAGUGUACCCGCGGCAAGACGGAAAGACCCCGUGAACCUUUACUAUAGCUUGACACUGAACAUUGAGCCUUGAUGUGUAGGAUAGGUGGGAGGCUUUGAAGUGUGGACGCCAGUCUGCAUGGAGCCGACCUUGAAAUACCACCCUUUAAUGUUUGAUGUUCUAACGUGGACCCGUGAUCCGGGUUGCGGACAGUGUCUGGUGGGUAGUUUGACUGGGGCGGUCUCCUCCUAAAGAGUAACGGAGGAGCACGAAGGUUGGCUAAUCCUGGUCGGACAUCAGGAGGUUAGUGCAAUGGCAUAAGCCAGCUUGACUGCGAGCGUGACGGCGCGAGCAGGUGCGAAAGCAGGUCAUAGUGAUCCGGUGGUUCUGAAUGGAAGGGCCAUCGCUCAACGGAUAAAAGGUACUCCGGGGAUAACAGGCUGAUACCGCCCAAGAGUUCAUAUCGACGGCGGUGUUUGGCACCUCGAUGUCGGCUCAUCACAUCCUGGGGCUGAAGUAGGUCCCAAGGGUAUGGCUGUUCGCCAUUUAAAGUGGUACGCGAGCUGGGUUUAGAACGUCGUGAGACAGUUCGGUCCCUAUCUGCCGUGGGCGCUGGAGAACUGAGGGGGGCUGCUCCUAGUACGAGAGGACCGGAGUGGACGCAUCACUGGUGUUCGGGUUGUCAUGCCAAUGGCACUGCCCGGUAGCUAAAUGCGGAAGAGAUAAGUGCUGAAAGCAUCUAAGCACGAAACUUGCCCCGAG
rnacentral:rRNA from 1 species